rnacentral:lncRNA from 1 species
GCUCAGUCAUGCGCAAUGACUUGGGAGCGAGCUGAGUUCAUAUUCACUGCUAAAGGGAACAAAUUUUAUUCAAGAUAUAUGAUAAAAGCAACCUAAAGAUUGAUUCUAUACAUCGUUUGACAUGUUUCUACAAACUGUAGUAUAACUUUUUUGACUUUUCGUCUGGACUAAGUAAGCAUGCGCAUUGUGGAUUUGGAUAGUGAACCUAACGCGUGAACAAAAUGGAUUAUUUGGACAUAUAAAUUAACUUUAUCGAACAUUUAUUGUGGAGCUGGGGUUCCUGGGAGUGCCUUCUGAUGAAGAUAAUCAAAGUUUCAGUUGGAGAACUAUCUCAGAAACAUCCUGAUGAGAACCAAGUACAGGAUACACCCUGCUACGAUGGAGUUCUUAGAAGUUAGUCAAAGUUCCUUUAUCCAGGACCUGGGACCAAAAGGAAUGUAAAACUGUCUUCACCUAAUUUCAACAUUGAAAAGAGUGUCUUCACCUUAAAUUUCAACAUUGAAAUAUGAAUGCUUACUUCCUUUUGCAAGUAUAACAUUUGGGGAUACAGUCAAUAAUGGUACAAUUACAGUCUUUUGUGGUAGUGUUUCACAAUGACUGUGUGCAUUUUUAUUAUGUGAGCUUUACAUACAAAGUGCAUUGAUUGAUGUCAUUCUCUGAGAUGUUGUUAUGAAGUUGUGUGUAUGUAUCUAAAGUGAAUGCCUGAUCCUGAAGAAGUCAGGAGGAAUUACAUUCCCUGUGUGCUACUGGUGUGGCUCCAACAGUGUGUGUGUGCAUUUAUGUAUGUGUGUAUGUCAGUGUGUGCACGUGUGUUUGUGUGUGUAUAUUUGUGCGUGUGCAUUAUACUAUAGAUGGUUGGUGGUGAAGGACUAAUUUGUCUUCUAUAUGCGGCCAGAGGAUGGCCAAGUGGGAACGGUCAUUCUGUAUGACAUGGGCUUCAACAUCAUUAUUGGCACCCAGUACACAGGUGUCUGACAUGGAGUCGCCAUCGAGAACCUCUGCACGCUCGUUCUAAAGACAAA